rnacentral:rRNA from 1 species
ACGAACGCUGGCGGCGUGCUUAACACAUGCAAGUCGAACGGUGAAGCCCUUCGGGGUGGAUCAGUGGCGAACGGGUGAGUAACACGUGGGCAAUCUGCCCUGCACUCUGGGACAAGCCCUGGAAACGGGGUCUAAUACCGGAUAACACUUUCUCCUGCAUGGGGGAUGGUUGAAAGCUCCGGCGGUGCAGGAUGAGCCCGCGGCCUAUCAGCUUGUUGGUGGGGUAAUGGCCUACCAAGGCGACGACGGGUAGCCG